rnacentral:rRNA from 1 species
CGCAAUAUGUAGAUCAAAUCAUGUCUUAUAAUAAGAAGAAAUCAUUCUUGGUAUCAAUCCCCUUGCACCUCAUUCUUUGUGAAUCAGAAGGAUCCUUUUCGAGUUUCCAUUUCUUCAUUUGGAAUUUGGGCUCUUCUAUCUUCGACUGCUCAAUCUCCUUCUUAUCAUUGUCAUUCAUGUCAUCUUGAAGCAUGA